AUACGUAGGGUGCAAGCGUUAAUCGGAAUUACUGGGCGUAAAGCGUGCGCAGGCGGUUUUGUAAGACAGAGGUGAAAUCCCCGGGCUCAACCUGGGAAGUGCCUUUGAGACUGGAAGGCUAGAGUACGGCAGAGGGGGAUGGAAUUCCCCGUGUAGCGGUGAAAUGCGUAGAUAUGGGGAGGAACACCGAUGGCGAAGGCAAUCCUCUGGGCCUGUACAGACGCUCAUGCACGAAAGCGGGGGGAGCAAACAGGAUUAGAUCCCCUGAGUGUCCACCGCCAAAACUAUGUCAUCAGGUUGUUGGGUCUUCAUGGACUCAGUGACGAAGCUAACGCGUGAAGUAGUCCGCCUGGGGAGUACGGCCGCAAGAUUGAAACUCAAAUGAAUUGACGGGG
rnacentral:rRNA from 1 species